rnacentral:rRNA from 1 species
UACGUAGGGUCCGAGCGUUGUCCGGAAUUACUGGGCGUAAAGAGCUCGUAGGUGGUUUGUCGCGUUGUUCGUGAAAACUCACAGCUCAACUGUGGGCGUGCGGGCGAUACGGGCAGACUGGAGUACUGCAGGGGAGACUGGAAUUCCUGGUGUAGCGGUGGAAUGCGCAGAUAUCAGGAGGAACACCGGUGGCGAAGGCGGGUCUCUGGGCAGUAACUGACGCUGAGGAGCGAGAGCGUGGGGAGCGAACAGG